UGGGUUGUGGCUCAGUGGUAGAGCACUCGCCUGGCAUGCAUGAGGAACUGGGUUUGAUCCUCAGCACCACAU
rnacentral:tRNA from 1 species